CGCUCCUGAGGCGGGGCCCCGGCAAGCAGGCCAGCACCGAGGCGCCCGCCGCCGUCGAGGAGCACAGCGCAGAGGACUCGACGCCGCAUGAGGAGGCCGAGAAGGCGGUGAGCUCCGAGGAGGGCGCCGCGGCGGAGGCCGUGACCACGGAGGCGGCCGCAGAGCACGCCCCGAGCAGACUAUCGUCCCUGCUGAACCGAAGGCGGCCCGGCGUCGCCCCCGGAGGCAGGAAGCCCGGUGCCUUGUACCGCCCGCAGCAGGCCCAGCAGGCCCAGCCCGCCACGGAGGCCGCGGACGCCGCGUGAUCUCCACCGGAGGCGUCGUACAUCCGUACCGAACGUUCCAACUUAAAUUAUGAAUGAAGCCCCCGGGGGCGUGGGGGCCGACAGUGCCGACAGUGACGUCACAGCCCAGGCCGCGGCGGUGUGCCGCGGUGCUGUGGACUGAGCAAGGACUCCCAACAGUGAUUCAGGGACCUCGCGUUUCCCUCAGUGAAGUCAAGCGAAGCCAGGACGAGUGAUGGGUCGCCGAUCCGGCCGGCCCGCGACCAGCCCAAGCAGUCCUGCAGCCUGCAAGGCGUGCCACCCAUUCGCCGACAGCUGGUCGCGCUUCGUUGGCGGCUUGCGGCAUGUUCGACGCCGCGCGCCGCUCCCGCCCGUCCGUCCGGCGGCGUCCUGGACGUCGUCCUGGGCGCCGUCUGCGCCUCCCCGUUGACUGACUCUGAGGGGAGCAGACUUGGAGCGUCUUCGCGCCGCGAGGCCGCCAUGGCCGCCCUCGCCCUAACCCUGUCCGAGGCGACAGCACUCCACUUGGGUCGCCCUUCCGACUUAGGCUCUCUAAUUGUUGUGAUUUUUUUGAAUCGUGUGAUGGAGUCAUCGAAGACAGUACUAUUAUUUUAUAAUUUGACAGCGAAGUCAGAAAUGACGGAUAGUCACUGCAAGCAAAGGAAUAAAGAAAACGAAACGAAAUCCGCGGUUCCGGCGUUGCGUUGCCAAAAAGAGAAGUCAAGGCUACUGCAGUGCCGGGCGCGGUCAUGAGAAGUGAGAAGAAAUUUAUGUGCCAAUUCUGUGGAAAUUCUGUAAAUAAAUAAUUUAAAAAUUGUUUUA